GACGAACGCUGGCGGCGUGCUUAACACAUGCAAGUCGAACGAUGAAGCCGGAGCUUGCUCUGGUGAAUUAGUGGCGAACGGGUGAGUAACACGUGAGUAACCUGCCCUUGACUCUGGGAUAACUGCUAGAAAUGGUAGCUAAUACCGGAUACGACCCUCGGAGGCAUCUCCAGGGGGUGGAAAGAAUUUCGGUCAAGGAUGGACUCGCGGCCUAUCAGCUAGUUGGUGAGGUAACGGCUCACCAAGGCGACGACGGGUAGCCGGCCUGAGAGGGUGACCGGGCACACAGGGGCUGAGACACGGCCCAGACUCCUACGGGAGGCAGCAGUGGGGAAUAUUGCACAAUGGGCGCAAGCCUGAUGCAGCAACGCCGCGUGAGGGAUGACGGCCUUCGGGUUGUAAACCUCUUUUAGUAGGGAAGAAGCGAAAGUGACGGUACCUGCAGAAAAAGCACCGGCUAACUACGUGCCAGCCGCCGCGGUAA
rnacentral:rRNA from 1 species